AAAUUAUAUUUUUAAAUAGCUGCAGAAUUCCUAACUGUACAAAGGUAGCAAAAUCAAUAGCUUUUUAAUUAAGAGCCGGAAUGAACGAUUUGAUAAGGUAAAUUUUGUCUCAAAUUUAUUAGAAUUAGAAUUUUUUUUUUAGUAAAAAUACUUUAAAUUGAUUUUAAAAGACGAGAAGACCCUAUAGAUUUUUAUAUUUUUUUUUUCGAAGUAAUUGAAAUUUAAUAAACAUUUUUCACUUAAAAGUAUUUGGUUGGGGCAAUUAUUAAACUUAAUAAAUUUUAAUAAUUUUAAACAAUAAUUUUUGAUAAUUAGAUCUUAUUUAUAUAUGAAUUAUUAGAAUAAAAUACCUUAGGGAUAACAGCGUAAUUUUUUUGGAGAGAUCACAUUGAUAAAAAAGUUUGCGACCUCGAUGUUGAAUUAAGAUAAAGUUUUGGKGUAGAAGUUAAAAAUUUU
rnacentral:rRNA from 1 species